AUUUAACGCUGGCGGCAGGCCUAACACAUGCAAGUCGAGCGAGCGGCGGACGGGUGAGUAAUGCCUGGGAAUUGCCCAGUCGAGGGGGAUAACAGUUGGAAACGACUGCUAAUACCGCAUACGAUUGGAUUGCCCAGGUGGGAUUAGCUAGUUGGUGAGGUAAUGUCUCACCAAGGCGACGAUCCCUCGCUGGUCUGCGAGGAUUAUCAGACACAGGGGAACUGAGAAACGGUCCAGACUCCGACGGGAGGCAGCAGUGGGGAAUAUUGUGCGAUGGGGGAAACCCUGAUGCAGCGAUGCCGCGUGUGUGAAGAAGGCCUUCGUGUUGUAAAGCACGUUCAGCGAGGAGGCGUUACUCGCAGAAGAAGCACCGGCUAACUCCGUGCCAGCAGCCGCGGUAAUUC
rnacentral:rRNA from 1 species